rnacentral:tRNA from 1 species
GCCGGCAUAGCUCAGGGGUAGAGCGUCCGCCUUGUAAGCGGAGGGUCGCGAGUUCAAAUCUCUCUGCCGGCU